GAGCAUGGAGGAGGGCUCUAGGUGACGGCAGCGCAUGGCAAAGGGCUCUGGAUUGUGGCGGGGAAGGAGCGGAGGAACUAUGCAUCCGGGAAUGGCGCGACUGCCGAUCCUAUCUGUUGGUCUACUGUUUGACAGGUGCCACAACGGCCUUGUAGCUUCAGAUUUACAAAUUGCUAAGGAGCGGAGCAUGGAGGAGGGCUCUGAGUCAUGGUGGGAGAAAUAUGGUUGUGUACAUGGCAACGCACGGGCACUCUUGUAGACUCUAGCUAGACUUGGACAAUAAUGCUUACGUGUGUUAGUGGGUUGCAGGGAUUUAGAGCAUCCACACGAUCUCGGUCGUCAAUGGCCUGAAGCCAAAUUUUAUUUCUGUUAACUCACAAAUGGUCGUGUGCUGAACUGCUGAUGUCAGGCUGUUAGGCUGUUAAUUGUUCUGCUACUGUCGAAAGAGAAAGCCCAGCUCGAAGCCUAAAGGAUAUGACAUCCCAGGAGCCAUCACUGAAGGUCUUCAGGCCAUGACGAUACCGCUUGUGCCAGAGAGGGUUGCACUUAAAUUUGAGCAUCGGAAAAGCAGAGCAGGUUGCUAUAACGCCCCAUUAGAGUGGAAGUAUAUCAGUAAGAAUUAUACACAAUCAUCCCCUUUUUACAUUUGUAUAGUUUUUUGUGGAGGAUGUCAUGUUAUCCUUUUGUGAGAAGGACUCUCAAUGGCUCUUAUGGCAUGCCAUCAAUACACUACAUGGGUCAUCAAGGAGACUACCACACUCUUGUGAGUUUAACUUCCCGAGAAAAAAAUGCACUCAGAAGUGGCUCUCAGCUCAUUAUGAUAUUUUCACUGAACAAUUGUUCCAAAUUUUAGAUAAUGGAUAUGCUUGGUCCUAACCUAUAGGAUGUUCAUGAUUCACUUGAACAGAAGAAGUAUACUUUCCAUCUUUUCAUCCUCGCUGCUUGUUCUCCUUACUACUUGCUGAAAGUAUGAACUCCCCUAACAGGAUGCCAUUUCAAAUGGUUGCUCAUAUUGUUGUUGAUGCCGUAUCAAUUUUUGAGAAGAUUGACUCCAAAGGGUAAUUUAAAGCCACUUGAUGUUUUUGAGUUGCAUUUUCCAUAGUUUUUACUCACUGAUGUUAACACUUGCUGCCAUUUUUCCCCAGUGGUGUUAACACUUGCUGCUCCUACUAUUAUUCCCAGCUUUGUACAUGGUGAUGUCAAACCUGAAAACUUUUUGCUUGGUCAGCUUGGAUAUGCUCAAGAAAAUAAGCUUUUAUCAUUAAUUUUGGCUUAGUAUUCUAUUACAUAACGUAGUUUCAUCCGUACAUGAAGAUAUUCAAUUUGGUGUUCUCAAAACACUAUGCCCUUUGCUCAGAGCAAUUGGCAUACUUGUUAGAAUGUUGAUGCAUUUUAUGCCCUGCUAACCUUUUUCACAUGGUUCUUUUGAUAUUAAAAUUAUGCAGCAUCCAACUGGAAAAGAGGAUCAUGCAACAAGCAUGUUCAGUAUGACCAGAGGCCAGACAUAUUUAGGGGAGCAAUUAGAUAUGCCAUCGUCCAUGCCUGUUUAGGUCGUACAGGCAGUAGGAGGGAUGAUUUGGAGUCACUAGCAUACACCCUUCUA